AACGCGAAGAACCUUACCUACCCUUGACAUCCUGCGAAUCUGGUUGAGAGACUGGAGUGCCGAAAGGAACGCUGAGACAGGUGCUGCAUGGCUGUCGUCAGCUCGUGUUGUGAGAUGUUGGGUUAAGUCCCGUAACGAGCGCAACCCUUAUCCUUAGUUGCCAGCAAGUAAAGUUGGGGACUCUAAGGAGACUGCCGGUGAUGAACCGGAGGAAGGCGGGGACGACGUCAAGUCAUCAUGGCCUUUAUGGGUAGGGCCACACACGUGCUACAAUGGGGCGUACAGAGGGUAGCCAACCCGCGAGGGGGAGCCAAUCUCAGAAAGCGUCUCGUAGUCCGGAUUGGAGUCUGCAACUCGACUCCAUGAAGUUGGAAUCGCUAGUAAUCGCGAAUCAGCAUUGUCGCGGUGAAUACGUUCCCGGGCCUUGUACACACCGCUCGUC
rnacentral:rRNA from 1 species